rnacentral:rRNA from 1 species
AACGCUAGCUACAGGCUUAACACAUGCAAGUCGAGGGGCAGCAUGGUCUUAGCUUGCUAAGGCCGAUGGCGACCGGCGCACGGGUGAGUAACGCGUAUCCAACCUGCCUUACACUCUUGGACAGCCUUCUGAAAGGGAGAUUAAUACAAGAUGUUAUCAUGAGUAAGCAUUUUCGCAUGAUUAAAGGUUUACCGGUGUAAGAUGGGGAUGCGUUCCAUUAGAUAGUAGGCGGGGUAACGGCCCACCUAGUCUUCGAUGGAUAGGGGUUCUGAGAGGAAGGUCCCCCACAUUGGAACUGAGACACGGUCCAAACUCCUACGGGAGGCAGCAGUGAGGAAUAUUGGUCAAUGGACGAGAGUCUGAACCAGCCAAGUAGCGUGAAGGAUGAAGGUUCUAUGGAUUGUAAACUUCUUUUAUACGGGAAUAAACGGAUCCACGUGUGGAUUUUUGCAUGUACCGUAUGAAUAAGGAUCGGCUAACUCCGUGCCAGCAGCCGCGGUAAUACGGAGGAUCCGAGCGUUAUCCGGAUUUAUUGGGUUUAAAGGGAGCGUAGAUGGGUUGUUAAGUCAGUUGUGAAAGUUUGCGGCUCAACCGUAAAAUUGCAAUUGAUACUGGCAGUCUUGAGUACAGUUGAGGUAGGCGGAAUUCGUGGUGUAGCGGUGAAAUGCUUAGAUAUCACGAAGAACUCCGAUUG